GAUGAACGCUGGCGGCGUGCUUAACACAUGCAAGUCGAGCGAAGCACUUGGAAGUUUUCGGACGGAAGAGUGACUGAGCGGGCGUCGGGCGAAGGUACGCGUAGGUAACGUGCUCAUACAGGGGAUAACAGUUAGAAAUGACUGCUAAUACCGCAUAAGCGCACGGAUCCGCAUGGAUCUGUGUAGAAAAACUCCGGUGGUAUGAGAUGGACCCGCGUCUGAUUAGCUAGUUGGUGGGGUAACGGCCCACCGAGGCGCGAUCAGUAGCCGACCUGAGAGGGUGACCGGCCACAUUGGGACUGAGCACGGCCCAA
rnacentral:rRNA from 1 species